GACGAACGCUGGCGGCGUGCUUAACACAUGCAAGUCGAACGGAAAGGCCCUGCUUUUGUGGGGUGCUCGAGUGGCGAACGGGUGAGUAACACGUGAGUAACCUGCCCUUGACUUUGGGAUAACUUCAGGAAACUGGGGCUAAUACCGGAUAGGAGCUCCUGCUGCAUGGUGGGGGUUGGAAAGUUUCGGCGGUUGGGGAUGGACUCGCGGCUUAUCAGCUUGUUGGUGGGGUAGUGGCUUACCAAGGCUUUGACGGGUAGCCGGCCUGAGAGGGUGACCGGCCACAUUGGGACUGAGAUACGGCCCAGACUCCUACGGGAGGCAGCAGUGGGGAAUAUUGCACAAUGGGCCGAAGCCUGAUACAGCAACGCCGCGUGCGGGAUAACGGCUUUCGGGGUGUAAACCGCUUUCGCCUGUGACGAAGCGUGAGUGACGGUAAUGGGUAAAGAAGCACCGGCUAACUACGUG
rnacentral:rRNA from 1 species